rnacentral:RNase_P_RNA from 1 species
GGAGUCGGCUGGACAACCGCGGUCCUAGCGUCUGUGGCCCACCCAUUGGGGGUUUGCGGUGCAGGGCGGAGGAAAGUCCGGGCUCCAUAGGGCAGGGUGCCAGAUAACCUCUGGGCGGCGUGAGCCGACGGAAAGUGCCACAGAAAAUAUACCGCCCGCUUCUCAGCCUCGGCUGGUGGCAGGUAAGGGUGAAAUGGUGCGGUAAGAGCGCACCGCGUUCGUGGUAAUACGAACGGCAGGGCAAACCCCACUCGGAGCAAGACCAAAUAGGAAUCCAACGGCGUUGCCCGCGCCGGAUUCGGGUAGGUCGCUUGAGGCACGCGGUGACGCGCGCCCCAGAUGAAUGGUUGUCCUCGACAGAACCCGGCUUACAGGCCGACUCCUUCU